rnacentral:pre_miRNA from 1 species
UUUUUAGUAUAAGUAUGUUCUAUGCAAUAUUUGGGACAUACUUACUUCUACUAAAA